ensembl:lncRNA
AGAUAAAAAGACUUUGCUCUUCUCAACUCCUUUUGACAGCACAGGGGAACACGUGACAUGAUAUUUACUCCACAUCUGAUAGCCUGUCACUUUACAAAACAAUAUUUGAGGCUGAGUACAGUGGCUCAUACCUGUAAUCCCAACACUUUGGAAGUCCAAGGAGCCAUGAUGGAGAUUAACCAUGUCAUGCUGACUUCUAAAAGAUCAGGUUUAUCCUGGACCCCAUUACCUGCUUCUGCUUAAGCUUUUGUUGAGGAAAUUUUUCUGCAGCUGAAAUGAAGUUUGAAGGCUUGAAGAACAGUGAUUUCCAUGUGACCUAGUGUAGCUUGGAAGAAUGAAGUUCUGAUUUGUAAGUAGAAUCAUUUCCUAUUGUGGUAGACUAGUAAACUUGGAAUAACAACAAGUAUAUGUUAAAUAAAUAUAAUUAAACAAUAGUAAACAUUAAAUUUAGAGACUAUUUUUAAUGCUCCAUUUGUAUGAACUCACUUAAUCCUCACAAUAGCUAUGAGGUUAUUUCAUUCAUGAGGAAACUACAGCACAGAGAGGUUGGUAACUUGCCUGAAUUCACAGAGUUAAUAAGGAUUGGUACCAGGACUGACGUUCAGGUCAUCUUGUUCCUAAGCCUGUUCCCUAAUCACAGCCAAUGAUGCAAUGAAUAUUCUUUUUUUUUUUUUUAGCUCACUGCAAGCUCCGCCUCCUGGGUUCACGCCAUUCUCUUGCCUCAGCCUCCCGAGUAGCUGGGACUACAGGUGCCCACCAGCACGCCCUGCUAAUUUUUUGAAGUUUUAGUAGAGACAGGGUUUCACCGUGUUAGCCAGGAUGGUCUCGAUCUCCUGAUGUCGUGAUCCGCCCGCCUUGGCCCCCCAAAGUGCUGGGCUUACAGGCAUGAGCCGCCGCGCCUGGCAACAAUGAAUAUUCUUAUGUACGUUUUCUUACAUUCACAUGUACAAGGUUUUCCCAAGUGUGACAUUCUUGGCUGUAGGUUAUACACGUCUUCAGCUUUACUAUAUAUUGACAAUUGAUUCUCUUUCUCCAUGUCCUAACACUUUUAAGCAACUUUUAAUAUUGGUCAGUCUGAUGAGUGUGAAGAGUUAGAUCAUUGUGUUUUAAAUAUUCAUUUCAUUUAUAACUAGAGAGUUUGAAAUGUUUGCACUGGGUUUGGUCCAUAGGUUUGUAAGUUUUUUUUAUUCUGAAUACUAAAUCAUAUUUUCUGUAUAAAUAUCCCUGGACACUUUGUUCUGUUUCUCUGCUCUGUUUCCCUAGCCAUGCCGUAAUACACAUUGUCAUAGUUACAUGAGUUUUUCCUCUUUUACCUCCUCUUCCUCCUCCUCCUCGUCCUUCUAAAACAUUGUGUAUCUGAUAGGAUGAAUCCCUUACCCUUUUUACCUUCAAAACAGAAUUGAUCAUUUGUAGCCUUUUAGCUCUUUCAUAUAAACAUAAAGAUAAGGUUGUCAAGCUCUAGGAAAAAAUUCUGUUGCAUUGAAUAUGUGAAUUAAUUUAGGAAAUUAGUUAUGCUGAUUCUAUCUAGCCUGCUCUUUCUGAAAAUGGUGGUAGUAAAAUUAGUUGCUGAAGCUUUAAUGGUUAAUGAAUCUUACUGGUUUUUCUGUGACUGGUUGCUAAAAUGGAUUAACAGUUUCUAAAGUACUUAUGAGCAUGACCUCUAUCAUAUGUCAAGUGCUAUGGCUAAAGUCUUACAAAAUUUAUUGUUGUUGGUGUUGUUUUAAUAAAUAUUGAGAUAUUUCUAGAUUGUGUUUUUUAUUGAUGUGAUUGUUGCUAUUUCACUGAAGUAAUAUAGAUGUUAGAGAUAUAUGGAGUCACAUUUGUACACUGAUAACCACCAUUUGUUAGCCAAGCCUGAGUGUUUGGGAUUCUUUAAUGACUUAUUUGGCUCUAAUUCAUAAAGCUUAGGGUGAUUGUGAGUCCAGGCCCUGCUGAGCUGGGGCCAAGUGUUGCAAUGAAUGUUCCAAGCACUUGAUGGUGUUGAAUGAUUCCAACUUAGAGACUGGAAUGGAAUUUUAGUAUAUCUAUUUUAAAUUUCUUCAUGUUUAAUAUACAAUCUAAAAUUGUGACAGUUCAGUCAGAUAGUCUCAGAUAAACAAGUUUAAAUAACCAAACAAAAAUCUCUGGAGGAGUUUAUAUAUCUUGGCUCUGCUGCCUUCAAAAUCCUUGUGAAUAAGAAACCAAAUUCUGAGGUUGAUACUUUUUCUUUAGAGUUAUGAACAUCCCGUUGUCGGAAAAACAGAGGUUACCACAUAUAUUUCAAUUGUUAAUAUUAUACAUAUCACCACUUUUUCUUUAGUUAAUCUUGGACCACGCUUUCUGAAACAGCCUCUCCCACAUGCCAAGUAUUGUAUUUGACCUUUUCACGUCAAUUAUCUACUUUGUUCUUCACAGCAAUCUUGUAGACUAUGUAUCGAUUCCAAAUUUACAGAUGGACAAAUAUGGUUGAGAGGGGUUUCCUAAAGUAUUAUAGCUAGAAACAGCAAAGUUGGGUUUCAAACAUGGUGCUAUCAAAUUCAGGUCUGUAUUAUUUUCUAUCACCCCAUUCGUUCUCCCAGUGCCUGGCAAUUGAAUAAGAAAAAAUAAAAAUGAUAAAUCUAUACUUUAUUUUUGAAUAGGUGCUAACUCCUAAAAUUCAAAAGAGUUCUUUCUUUAAUUCCAGCAGUGAUGGCCCAACUUGAUACUGACUAUUCUGCUGAUUUUGUUAAUUUACUCAGAAGCCUAAAUUAUCUGCUAAUAAAAGAUAUUGCACAACUGGACAUUCCUAAUGUUAGUUACAUCUGGAGGUGAUCUCACUAAACAUUACAGAUUUGGCUGUGUGUCUUGGGGGCUUUCUGAAAUCCUAACUUUUUGCAUCCUUGCCCUACAGGCACAGUUCAUAUGCUCUAAGUACAUAGCCAGAUUAGCCAUAGCCAUGAC